CACAGGGAUAACUGGCUUG
rnacentral:ncRNA from 2 species